UUUUGCCUACGGGAGGCAGCAGUGGGGAAUAUUGGACAAUGGGGGGAACCCUGAUCCAGCGACGCCGCGUGAGUGAAGAAGUAUUUCGGUAUGUAAAGCUCUAUCAGCAGGGAAGAAAAUGACGGUACCUGACUAAGAAGCCCCGGCUAACUACGUGCCAGCAGCCGCGGUAAUACGUAGGGGGCAAGCGUUAUCCGGAUUUACUGGGUGUAAAGGGAGCGUAGACGGGG
rnacentral:rRNA from 1 species